rnacentral:rRNA from 1 species
UUUCGACCUGAGCUCAGUCAAGUUAGCUAGUCCCC